rnacentral:tRNA from 1 species
AUUUUUUUAGUAUAAUUAGUAUUAUUGACUUCCAAUCAAUAGGCCUGGGGUUCCCAGAAAAAAUA